ensembl:lncRNA
GGAUAGCGUAUGGUCAGGGAUUCCAUCGCAGCUCCAGGGAGGACCAUGCAGCCUUAGCAGGCUUGCUACCCUAACUCCCAAUAGGACACAAAUUCUCGAUUGGCAAAAGGAAAGACAAUUGGCCCAUACUAAAAGAUCAUGUGCUGGAUUUGAUGAAAAUUGUGACUCCCAAAUUUUCAAUUGGGGCAAGACCAAGAGGGUCACUGCGUCCAUUUUCCUUCCGUGGUACGCAGCAGCUAAGGCCUUCGGUGAGCUUUCUCACCUGGAGUGUUGGGUGAUCAAGAAUGCCAACGCCACGUUCGCCGCCCUCUCCAACCUCUUGGCGGACGAACAAGCCACCAGGCAGGCAAUGCUGCAAAAUCAUGCGGCCAUUGACUUCCUCCUGCUCGCCCAUGGCCACAGUUGUGAGGACCUUGAGGGACUUUGUUGCUUCACUUUGUCAUCAAGAAGCACUUCCAUCCAACGCAAUAUCCAGUGGAUCCGGACCCAGGUUGAGGACAUCAAAACCGAGACUGUUUCGGCUGUGGACCCAGUAAAUAGAUUGAUGUCGCAGUGGGGCAUCCCUGGUUGGACAGCCACCAUACUCAAAGGACUGUUAUGGAUUUUUGUUAUUAUUCUUAUAAUUUCUAUUGCCCUAGCCCUUUUUAAGAAGAUGCUAAUCAAGACAUUGGGCAAAUGUUUAUUUAAUUAAUAAAAACAGGGGAGAUGUGGGAGGAGGGUCAGGAGAGGGACCUCCCGCCCUUCCCUGGGAAACAACAGAUGUCUAGUUUCCCGCCUCCCCUGUUUGUCAAUCUUGUGUUAUCCCUUCCCCCUUGGCUUUGUCAAUCAGUUAGUGUUCAAACCCCUUGUUCCAGAAUGUUCUGUGUACUUUGUAUCCCCAUUGGUUCUCCCCCGAAACCACUCCCUCUCCCCAUCAUUAUUGGUUCAUGUAAUGUCACCCCACCUUUACUCCUCCCCUCAGUUUGUACCUGGUUGGACCCUCAGACUCUAGCCACUCCUAUCCCUUGACCCUUUUAU